rnacentral:rRNA from 1 species
UACAAUGGAGAGUUUGAUCCUGGCUCAGGAUGAACGCUAGCUACAGGCUUAACACAUGCAAGUCGAGGGGAAACGACAUUGAAGCUUGCUUCGAUGGGCGUCGACCGGCGCACGGGUGAGUAACGCGUAUCCAAUCUGCCUCUGACUAAGGGAUAACCCGGCGAAAGUCGGACUAAUACCUUAUGAGGUUUUCAGCAGACAUCUAAUGAAAACGAAAGAUUUAUCGGUCAGCGAUGGGGAUGCGUCUGAUUAGCUUGUUGGCGGGGUAACGGCCCACCAAGGCAACGAUCAGUAGGGGUUCUGAGAGGAAGGUCCCCCACAUUGGAACUGAGACACGGCCCAAACUCCUACGGG